GAUGAACGCUGGCGGUGUGCCUAAUACAUGCAAGUCGAGCGAACAGACGAGGAGCUUACUCCUCUGACGUUAGCGGCGGACGGGUGGGUAACACGUGGAUAACCUACCUAUAAGACUGGGAUAACUUCGGGAAACCGGAGCUAAUACCGGAUAACAUGUUGACCCGCAUGGUUCAACAGUGAAAGACGGUCUUGCUGUCACUUAUAGAUGGAUCCGCGUCGCAUUAGCUAGUUGGUAAGGUAACGGCUUACCAAGGCAACGAUGCGUAGCCGACCUGAGAGGGUGAUCGGACACACGGGAACAGAGACACGGCCGAGACUCCGACGGGAGGAAGCAGUAGGGAAUCCUACGCGAGGGGCGAAAGCCGGACGGAGCAACGUGGCGUGAGUGAAGAAGGUCUUAGGAUCGGAGAACGCUGUUAGUAGGAAGGAACAAAUGUGUAAGUAACUGUGCACGUCUUGACGGUACCUGAUCAGAAAGCCACGGCUAACUACGUG
rnacentral:rRNA from 1 species